rnacentral:rRNA from 1 species
UACGUAGGGUGCUAGCGUUGUUCGGAUUUACUGGGCGUAAAGCGCACGUAGGCGGAUCGUUAAGUCGGGGGUGAAAUCCUGGAGCUCAACUCCAGAACUGCCUUCGAUACUGGCGAUCUUGAGUCCGGAAGAGGUGAGUGGAACUCCUAGUGUAGAGGUGGAAUUCGUAGAUAUUAGGAAGAACACCAGUGGCGAAGGCGGCUCACUGGUCCGGUACUGACGCUGAGGUGCGAAAGCGUGGGGAGCAAACAGG